GACGAACGCUGGCGGCGUGCCUAAUACAUGCAAGUCGAGCGAGCGGAACUAACAGAUUUACUUCGGUAAUGACGUUAGGAAAGCGAGCGGCGGAUGGGUGAGUAACACGUGGGGAACCUGCCCCAUAGUCUGGGAUACCACUUGGAAACAGGUGCUAAUACCGGAUAAGAAAGCAGAUCGCAUGAUCAGCUUUUAAAAGGCGGCGUAAGCUGUCGCUAUGGGAUGGCCCCGCGGUGCAUUAGCUAGUUGGUAAGGUAAAGGCUUACCAAGGCGAUGAUGCAUAGCCGAGUUGAGAGACUGAUCGGCCACAUUGGGACUGAGACACGGCCCAAACUCCUACGGGAGGCAGCAGUAGGGAAUCUUCCACAAUGGACGCAAGUCUGAUGGAGCAACGCCGCGUGAGUGAAGAAGGUUUUCGGAUCGUAAAGCUCUGUUGUUGGUGAAGAAGGAUAGAGGUAGUAACUGGCCUUUAUUUGACGGUAAUCAACCAGAAAGUCACGGCUAACUACGUGCCAGCAGCCGCGGUAAUACGUAGGUGGCAAGCGUUGUCCGGAUUUAUUGGGCGUAAGGUGAGCGCAGGCGGAAGAAUAAGUCUGAUGUGAAAGCCCUCGGCUUAACCGAGGAACUGCAUCGGAAACUGUUUUUCUUGAGUGCAGAAGAGGAGAGUGGAACUCCAUGUGUAGCGGUGGAAUGCGUAGAUAUAUGGAAGAACACCAGUGGCGAAGGCGGCUCUCUGGUCUGCAACUGACGCUGAGGCUCGAAAGCAUGGGUAGCGAACAGGAUUAGAUACCCUGGUAGUCCAUGCCGUAAACGAUGAGUGCUAAGUGUUGGGAGGUUUCCGCCUCUCAGUGCUGCAGCUAACGCAUUAAGCACUCCGCCUGGGGAGUACGACCGCAAGGUUGAAACUCAAAGGAAUUGACGGGGGCCCGCACAAGCGGUGGAGCAUGUGGUUUAAUUCGAAGCAACGCGAAGAACCUUACCAGGUCUUGACAUCUAGUGCCAUUUGUAGAGAUACAAGGUUCCCUUCGGGGACGCUAAGACAGGUGGUGCAUGGCUGUCGUCAGCUCGUGUCGUGAGAUGUUGGGUUAAGUCCCGCAACGAGCGCAACCCUUGUUAUUAGUUGCCAGCAUUAAGUUGGGCACUCUAAUGAGACUGCCGGUGACAAACCGGAGGAAGGUGGGGAUGACGUCAAGUCAUCAUGCCCCUUAUGACCUGGGCUACACACGUGCUACAAUGGGCAGUACAACGAGAAGCGAGCCUGCGAAGGCAAGCGAAUCUCUGAAAGCUGUUUUCAGUUCGGACUGCAGUCUGCAACUCGACUGCACGAAGCUGGAAUCGCUAGUAAUCGCGGAUCAGCACGCCGCGGUGAAUACGUUCCCGGGCCU
rnacentral:rRNA from 1 species